ensembl:lncRNA
GAGAUAAUUCUAUUCGAGGAGUGAAUUCUAGUAAUAAAUUGUGAGUGGAUGUAAUCCCAAUAUAGAUGAAUAAGAAAAUACAAAAAGUAAUCAAGGUUUUUUAAAAGAAUCACCUAAUAGACCUGGAAACAUUGGAUGACAAAGUUAAGGGAAGGAAGAGAUUUCAUCUGUGGAUUUCUCUGGACCAACAUCAGUGUUUCCCCUCUGAGAAACAUAUGUGUCUUAGUGGCAAUAGACAUGGGAAGAAGAUCAAUAUGAUUGUCAAAGUCUGCAUAAAGGUGAUUCCUGGAUGGAAGCCAUCAUUCUCCUGAGAUCCCUAUAUACAUGGUUAGAAACUAUGAGUAUAUUAAAAGUACUAAUGACAGCAUGAAUACAAGUUUUUGUUCUGAGCAAUAUAUAUUCUUAUUCCUUGAAUAAAUUCACAGGUAUAUUUAAGGUUUCCA